rnacentral:rRNA from 1 species
AGAGUUUGAUCAUGGCUCAGGAUGAACGCUAGCGGCAGGCUUAACACAUGCAAGUCGAGGGGUAUCACGCUUUCGGGCGUGAGAGACCGGCGCACGGGUGCGUAACGCGUAUAGAACCUACCUUUUACAGAGGGAUAGCCCAGAGAAAUUUGGAUUAAUACCUCAUAAUAUUGUUGAAUGGCAUCACUUGACAAUUAAAGUUUCGGCGGUAAAAGAUGAGCAUGCGUCCCAUUAGCUAGUUGGUAAGGUAACGGCUUACCAAGGCUACGAUGGGUAGGGGUCCUGAGAGGGAGAUCCCCCACACUGGUACUGAGACACGGACCAGACUCCUACGGGAGGCAGCAGUAAGGAAUAUUGGUCAAUGGACGCAAGUCUGAACCAGCCAUGCCGCGUGCAGGAUGACGGCCUUAUGGGUUGUAAACUGCUUUUUAUACAGGAAGAAACACUCCCUCGUGAGGGAACUUGACGGUACUGUAUGAAUAAGCACCGGCUAACUCCGUGCCA